CAUUGGGAUUCAGACAUUUAGACGAGGGACUAUUUGGGCCUGUGCCGAAGACUUGGUGUUGACGACAUUUCCAUCUACCCCUCUUCUUCGACUAACCCCCCUCUUCUUCGUCUGUGUAUGCUUGGGGUUGACGCAUUCUUCCUGAGUGAGCGCCAGACCCCUUCACACCAUGGAUUCAUGAUGAUGAUGUAUGUUCGGCCCUGCAUUGCAAUAUUGAUUGUUCGGAUCAUUGGUAUCUAAGUCUUCCGCUAUGCUAUCUUGUACUUUGUGAGAGAGGUCGGUUCUUGUUCUGGUCUGCACCGUUACACUAUGGAACAAUAGAGGCCUACCAUGGUGGUAACGGGUGACCGAGAAUUAGGGUUCGAUUCCGGAGAGGGAGCCUGAGAGAUGGCUACCACAUCCAAGGAAGGCAGCAGGCGCAUAAAUUAAGCAAUCCUGACAUAGGGAGGUASUGACAAUAAAUAACAAUACUGGGCUCUUACGAGUCCGGUAAUUGGAAUGAGAACAGUCGUAAACUCCGUGAACGAGGAUCCAUUGGAGGGCAAGUUUGGUGCCAGCAGUUGAGGUAAUUCCAGCUCCAAUAGCGUAUAUUUAAGAUGUUGAAGUUAAAAAGCUCGUACUUGGAUUUUAGGUGGGAAGGGUUCGUCCGCUCUUGCGGGUGUGUAUCGACCCUUUCGCCUUUCUUGUCGGGUAUGCGUUCGUUGCCUUUAUUGGCUGGGAUCCAGUGUUAAAAGCAGGUCUGUACUCUGAACAUAUUAGCGUGGAAUAACGCGAUAGGACUCUGGUCCUAUUUCGUUGGUCUUCGAGAUUGGAGUAAUGAUUAAUAGAGACGGUUGGGGGCAUUCAUAUUCCAUUGUCAGAGGUGAAAUUCUUAGAUUUAUGGAUGACGAACUUCUGCGAAAGCAUUUGCCAAGGACGUUCUCAUUAAUCAAGAACGAAAGUUGGGGGAUCAAAGACGAUCAGAUACCGUCCUAGUCUCAACCAUAAACGAURCCGACUAGGGAUUGGCGGAUGUCUAUUGGAUGACUCUGCCAGCACCUUGUGAGAAAUCACAGUUUAUGGGUUCCGGGGGGAGUAUGGUCGCAAGGCUGAAACUUAAAGGAAUUGACGGAAGGGCACCACCAGGCGUGGAGCCUGCGGCUUAAUUUGACUCAACACGGGGAAACUCACCAGGUGCAGACAUAGUAAGGAUUGACAGACUGAGAGCUCUCUCUUGAUUCUAUGGGUGGUGGUGCAUGGYCGUUCUUAGUUGGUGGAGUGAUUUAUCUGGUUAAUUUUGUUAACGAACGAGACCUCGGCCUGCUAAAUAGCUACAUGGGGACCUUUCCUCGUGGCCAGCUUCUUAGAGGAACUGUUGGACGACUAGCCAACGGAAGUUUGAGGCAAUAGCAGGUUUGUAAUGCCCUUAGAUGUUCUGGGCCGCACGCGCGCUGCAGUGAUGAAUCCAACGAGUCGCUAGCCUGGGUCGAAAGGCCCGGGUAACCUUCUUAAGGUUAAUCUUGACAAGGAUAGAUUGUUGUAAUUAUCGAUCUUGAACGAGGAAUGCCUAGUAAGCGCGAGUCAUCAGCUCACGCUGAUUACGUCCCUGCCCUUUGUACACACCGCCUGUUGCUCCUACCGAUUGAAUGGUGUGGUGAAGUGUCUGGAUUACGGUGAUCUCGACGGUUUGCCGUUGGGGAUGCAGUGAGAAGUUUAUUGAACCUUAUCAUUUAGAGGAAGGAGAAGUCGUAACAAGGUUUCCGUAGGUGAACCUGUGGAAG
rnacentral:rRNA from 1 species